rnacentral:rRNA from 1 species
UAUCAACUCAGCGGGUAGCGUAGGUAAUUUAUUGCUUUCGUUUUCCGUGUACUUUGUUGUCUGCUGGUUAGCAUCAAUUUUGAUUGUCAUAAAAAGGUUAAGGGGAUGUGGCUCCUUCGGGAGUGUUAUAACCCUUAGCGGAAUGUGGCGAUUGGGAUUGAGGAUUGCAACGAAUACCUUUAGGGCAGUUCCGUCUGGUCUCUUGUUGAUUUUCAGAUAGCAAAAGCUUGCUUUUGUUGUUUGAAUAGUUAGCAAAUAGAUUGGAAAGUGAAUUAAUUCGUUAAGGAUGCUGACGUA